UUUAGAUUGAGCUGCGUUUAAAAAACGCAGCUUCAAUUCAUAUUUAAAAAAAAAAAAAAGCCCUCAAUAGGACACAACAACGGAAAAAACCCUAAAUUGAAAAAACUCUCAGCUCACUCAGCCCCAGACCUUCCUUUCUCCCACGCCUGAGAUCGAACCCAACCUUGAAACUUUUUGACCAGCAAGGGCAUCGGCUUGGGCAUUAGAGUUGAGGUGAUAUCAGUGUGGAGAUUCGUGGGAUCGUGCUCCGAUCUGUGCUCCGAUUUGUGGGAUCAUGGGUGUCGCCGUCGGUCUGGCCGUAGGUCGUGGUUGUGGUGCUUGUUUUGCCGUGGUGCUGGGUUUCUAUUUUUGUCAUGGGUUGCUGUGGGUUUCUAUUUCUGCUCUCUCACCUUCUUUCUCACUCUCUCCCUUAGACUCCCAAACCCUCACCUCCAACCCACCCAUCUCUACCACCGAUCCUCCCCACUAGGACCUUCGCCUCCACCUCCAUCACCUCCUUCGCCAACCCUCACUUCGAAGAAUCCAACCUCAACGCAUUGCUAUUCGUGAACGACAAUCGCCUGAACGGACGGCAGAGAUUUAGAGGAGGAGUGAGGGGGUUGUGGAGGUGAAUGUCGACGGAGCUCAUUGUGCUUUGUCCCGAUUUGUGGAAAAGCAUGCUUGAUCGAGAAUGGGCUUUUUUAAUAAUUGAUGAAUCUCACCAUGUUCGGUGUUCUAAGAAAGUGUCUGAACCAGAAGAGAUAAAAGCUGUCCUUGAUGUGGCUCUGAAGAUCAAGUGAAUAGUUCUACUAUCUGGGACCCCUUCUUUUUUGAGGUGAUCAUAGGCCAUAUGACAUUUUCUCAUCAGAUAAACAUGCUAUGGCAA